GAAGAAUUAGUUAAAAUAUAACAUUAGAAUGUCAAACUAAAAUUAUCAAAUAAUGAUAUUCUUCU
rnacentral:tRNA from 1 species